CAGCCGUAAACUAUGCGCGUUAGGUGUACUGGUGACCACGAGUCACCGGGGUGCCGAAGGGAAACCGUGAAACGUGCCGCCUGGGAAGUACGGUCGCAAGGCUGAAACUUAAAGGAAUUGGCGGGGAGCACCACAACAGGUGGAGCCUGCGGUUUAAUUGGACUCAACGCCGGGAAGCUCACCGGAUAGGACAGCAGAAUGAUUGCCGGGCUGAAGACCCUGCAUGACUAGCUGAGAGGAGGUGCAUGGCGUAGACGUCU
rnacentral:rRNA from 1 species